rnacentral:tRNA from 1 species
GCCCCUGUAGUGUAGUCCGGCCAAUCACUUCGGAUUUUCAAUCCGAAAACCCGGGUUCAAAUCCCGGCGGGGGCA